rnacentral:tRNA from 1 species
GCCUGGCUGGCUCAGUCAGAAGAGCGUGUGACUCUUAAUCAUGGGGUUGUGAGUUCAAGCCCCCCAUUGGGUA